CACGUAGGGCGCAAGCGUUGUCCGGAAUUAUUGGGCGUAAAGAGCUCGUAGGCGGUCUGUUGCGUCCGCUGUGAAAACUCCGGGGCUUAACCCCGAGCCUGCAGUGGAUACGGGCAGACUAGAGGUAGGAGGGGAGAAUGGAAUUCCCGGGUGUAGCGGUGAAAUGCGCAGAUAUCGGGAGGAACACCGGUGGCGAAGGCGGUUCUCUGGGCCUUACCUGACGGCUGAGGCAGCGAAAGCGUGGGGAGCGAACAGGAAUUGAGAAACCCCGGUAGGGUACCAAG
rnacentral:rRNA from 1 species